rnacentral:rRNA from 1 species
CCUACGGGAGGCAGCAGUAGGGAAUAUUGCUCAAUGGGGGAAACCCUGAAGCAGCAACGCCGCGUGGAGGAUGAAGGUUUUCGGAUUGUAAACUCCUUUUGUUAGAGAAGAUAAUGACGGUGUCUAACAAAUAAGAACCGGCUAACUCCGUGCCAGAAGCCGCGGUAAUACGAAGGGUGCAAGGGUUACUCGGAAUAACUGGGCGUAAAAAGCCCGUAGGCGGUAUAGCAAGUCAGAUGUGAAAUCCAAUGGCUUAACCAUAGAACUGCAUUUGAAACUGUUAUUCUAGAGUAUGGGAGAGGUAGGUGGAAUUCUUGGUGUAGGGGUAAAAUCCGUAGAGAUCAAGAGGAAUACUCAUUGCGAAGGCGACCUGCUAGAACAUAACUGACGCUGAUGCGCGAAAGCGUGGGGAGCAAACAGGAUUAGAUACCCCAGUAGUC